GGGAAAUCAAAUCCACCUACCACCUAGAUCUUCAGAUCCACAACACACAGCAAGUUUCAUGCCUGUCAACUGAUGUGCCUUAAGGGAGCAAUUCUCCAACUCUCAGAUGAUCCAGAAGAGUGAAGCUUCCUGUCCGGGAAAACAAAACGGCCGUGAUUGUGGGGAGCAUAACAGAUGACGUGCGGGUUCAGGAGGUGCCCAAACUGAAGGUGUGUGUGCUGAGUGUGACCAACCUGGCCCGCAGCCGCGUCCUCAGGGCAGGGGGCAAGAUCCUCACUUUUCGACCAGCUGGCCGUGGACUCCCGCAAGGGCUGCAGCACCGUCCUGCUCUCCGGUCCUCUCAAGGGCCGAAAGGUGUACGGGCAUUUUGGCAAGGCCCCGGGAACCCCGCACAGCCACACCAAACCCUACGUCCACUCCAAGGGCCGGAAGUUCGAGCGCGCCAGAGGCUGACGGGCCAGCUGAGGCUACAAAAACUAACCCUGGAUCCUACUCUCUUAUUAAAAUGAUUUUGGAUGCAAAAAAAAAGAAAAGAAAAGAAAAUGUGCACAUUGACAUUACAGUGGGGGGUGAGAAAAAGUCUCUUAAGUAGCAUUUUACAUGAGGUUCCUCAUUGUUGGUUUACUCCAAAUGUUGUCAAACUUCACGGUACAUGAGAAUUGGCUGGAGGGCUUAAUAAAACGCAGAUUUCUGGGUCUCACCCCCAGAUUCUGAUUUGUAGUUGGGUAGGACCCCAGAAUUCAAAUUUUAAGUUCCCAGCUGAUCUCAUCCUGCUGGUCUGGCGAACCUCACUUGGAGAACCACUGGUCUAGUUUGUAACAGAUUGACAGACUACUGCUUCAUUCUAC
rnacentral:lncRNA from 10 species